rnacentral:ncRNA from 1 species
AGGUAAUAUGUGAACUGUCUCCGUAUGGUGGCUUGCCCUUCGGCUAGUAUAUUACCUUGGA